GAUGAACGCUAGCGGCAGGCUUAAUACAUGCAAGUCGAGGGGCAGCACGGGUAGCAAUACCUGGUGGCGACCGGCAAACGGGUGCGGAACACGUACGCAACCUUCCCAUAACUGGUGAAUAGCCUUCCGAAAGGGAGAUUAAUACACCGUAACAUAACGAGUAGGCAUCUACUUGUUAUUAUAGGCUUCGGCCGGUUUUGGAUGGGCAUGCGCCUGAUUAGGUAGUUGGCGGGGUAACGGCCCACCAAGCCUGCGAUCAGUAACUGGUGUGAGAGCACGACCAGUCACACGGGCACUGAGACACGGGCCCGACUCCUACGGGAGGCAGCAGUAAGGAAUAUUGGUCAAUGGACGAAAGUCUGAACCAGCCAUGCCGCGUGAAGGAUUAAGGCCCUCUGGGUUGUAAACUUCUUUUAUCUGGGACGAAAAAAGGGCUUUCUAGCUCACUUGACGGUACCAGAGGAAUAAGCACCGGCUAACUCCGUGCCAGCAGCCGCGGUAAU
rnacentral:rRNA from 1 species